GAGGUUGGCUGUGGGAGCACACUGACCACCAGGGGGUAGCUCCUGCAUUGAGCAUCUGCCCCCUGUGGUCAGUGCACGUCAUAGUGACUGGUUGACCGGUAGUUCGGUCGUAAUGGUCUCUUGGGCUUUUAUAUAUAGAGAGUAUCUAUAGAAAUAUUAUAAAAAUUAAAAAUUCAUAAAAACUUAAAAAACUGCCAAAGGAUUAGUAGCUUCAUCCAGCUGAUGAAAAAAGUAUUCCAAAGCAUUUUAUACAUCUUAAAAGCUGUCAUCACAGAAAAAAAGAAAUCUGUAGCUGUGUGAUGGUGGAUGUUAACUAAACUGAUUGCGGGUGAUCAUGUGCAGUAUAUAUGUAUACCAAAUCAUUAUGCUUGCUGUACUCUUAAAACUAAUACAGUGUUAUAUGUCAACUAUAUCUUAGUUUAAAAAAAUACUUUUUAAUUAGAAGGAUUUGUGUUUGGUGACAACUCUUUCUUUUUAAAUAUAUUUUUAUUGAUUUUAGAGGGAGAGGAAGGGAAAGAGAGAGAUAGAAACAUCAGUUGCCCCCCACCGGGAAUCAAACCAGUGACCUCCUUGGUUCAUGGGUUGACACUUAACCACUGAGCCACCAGCCGGGCUGGUGACAACUUUUUGAAGAGGAGAAAUAAGUAAGGGAGAAAUAAGUGAGGGCUUAGUUAAAAGUAUUUUUUAAGAAAAACAACAUAAAUAAUUGUUACCUCACUUCCCCUGAAGUUGAAGGUAGAAGUUAAUCCUUGAAUUCUUGUAUGUGUUUCAGAUUUGUAUAAUCUUUAGAUAGGUAGGUAAAUAAUUCUACUUUUAAAAUUAACACAGGUUAAUUGUAGAAAAUUUAGAAAAUAAAGAAUAAGAAAAGAUUAAUAAGUACACUUUUCAUCUUUUCCUCACUGAAUUCCACUACAUUUUGGUGUGUGUUUGCGUGUGUGUGUGUGUGUGUGUUAAAAUUGAGAUUAUAUAAUCUGUCUGGUACACAUCUUCCUAUGUCAUUAAUCUUCAAAAACAUAAUUUUUAAUGGCUUUAUAUAGUCUGUAAGUUGAAUAUACCUUAAAUUACUUAACCAAAAUUAUUUUCUUGAAGAGUUAGACUAUUUUGCUAUCUUUUUUCUUUAUUAUUACCGCCCAGAUAAACAUCAUCUUAUGUAAAUAAGUACAUAGAGACAAUAUACAUCUCCAAGACAUACUGUUGAAAGAAAAAUGGAAGUUACAAAACAA